rnacentral:lncRNA from 1 species
UUUUGGGAUCACAGCUGGAAUUGCAGGACAAUCAUACCCAGAUUUUGGGGUCACAUCUGGAAUUCCAGGGCAACUGUACCCAUAUUUUGGGAUCACACCUGGAAUUGCAGAGCAGCUGUACCCAGAUUUUGGGACCAGAUUUUGGGACCAGGUGGAAUUCCAGGGCAGCUGCACUCAGAUUUUGAUUUUGGGAUCACACCUGGAAUUGCAGGGCAGCUGCACCCAGAUUUUGGGAUCACAAUUGCAGGGCAAUCAUACCCAGAUUUUGGGAUCACAGCUGGAAUUGCAGGGCAGCUGUACCCAGAUUUUGGGAUCACAUCUGCAAUUCCAGGGCAGCUGGGACCAGAUUUUGGGACCAGAUUUUGGGACCAGGUGGUACCCAGAUUUUGGGACCACCUGGAAUUCCAGGGCAGCUGCACUCAGAUUUUGAUUUUGGGAUCACAGCUGGAAUUGCAGGGCAAUCAUACCCAGAUUUUGGGGUCACAUCUGGAAUUGCAGGGCAGUCAUACCCAGAUUUUGGGAUCACAAUUGCAGGGCAGCUGUACCCAGAUUUUGGGAUCACACCUGGAAUUGCAGGGCAGACAUACCCAGAUUUUGGGAUCACAUCUGGAAUUCCAGGGCAGCUGUACCCAGAUUCUGGGAUCACAAUUGCAGGGCAGUCAUACCCAGAUUUUGGGGUCACAUCUGGAGUUCCAGGGCAGCUGUACCCAGAUUUUGGGAUCACAAUUGCAGGGCAGUCAUACCCAGAUUUUGGGAUCACAAUUGCAGGGCAGCUGCACCCAGAUUUUGAUUUUGGGGUCACAUCUGGAAUUCCAGGGCAGCUGCACCCAGAUUUUGGGAUCACAAUUGCAGGGCAGUCAUACCCAGAUUUUGGGAUCACACCUGGAAUUGCAGGGCAGCUGCACCCAGAUUUUGGGAUCACAAUUGCAGGGCAAUCAUAGCCAGAUUUUGGGGUCACAGCUGGAAUUGCAGGGCAGCUGUACCCAGAUUUUGGGAUUACAAUUCCAGGGCAGCUGCACCCAGAUUUUGAUUUUGGGAUCACACCUGGAAUUGCAGGGCAGUCAUACCCAGAUUUUGGGGUCACAUCUGGAAUUCCAGGGCAACUGUACCCAGAUUUUGGGGUCACAUCUGGAAUUCCAGGGCAGUCAUACCCAGAUUUUGGGAUCACAUCUGGAAUUGCAGGGCAGCUGUACCCAGAUUUUGGGAUCACAAUUGCAGGGCAGUCAUACCCAGAUUUUGGGAUCACAGCUGGAAUUGCAGAGCAGCUGUACCCAGAUUUUGGGAACAGGUGGUACCCAGAUUUUGGGACCACCUGGAAUUCCAGGGCAGUUGCACCCAGAUUUUGAUUUUGGGAUCACAGCUGGAAUUGCAGGGCAGUCAUACCCAGAUUUUGGGAUCACACCUGGAAUUCCAGGGCAGUCAUACCCAGAUUUUGGGGUCACAUCUGGAACUCCUGCACUGCCUGCCCAAAGCCACAAAAGCAGCAGGGAAACGCACCUGGCACACAGGUAG